CUCUAGCAGUUAUCUUAAUAUUUUGUAUUUCUCUUUCCCCUGUUUUUCCUAGGCACAGGAACAAGAAACAAACACAGAAAGCUUUAUGCAAAGAUAUAAGAAAGAGUGUAUGGACCCUAAAAUAGACGAGAGUUUCAUUUUCACGACUUCUCCAGUAAAGGACAUCGCAACAACCAGCCUUCCAGCGUUGAAUAUGAUCAGCAGUGAAAAUGGAUUACAAACAGGAUAUGUGACUUUACAAAGCUGUAUCGCUCACGAUGUGUCCCAUGAUCAGAGGGAUCGCGAUCAGCAACAACCAUGUGGGGAACAAAGAGUUAAUAUUACAAAGCUACGUGAUGGCCAAGAGGACAGAGGAAAAACAUGUGGUGCUCUUGAUAUAGAUACCUUCUGUGAUGAAUCAUGUAAUGAGUAUCUGCCCAAAGCAAAUUGCUGUGCAAUUCUGGGAUCUGUGGAACCUCAGUAUAGAGACUCUGAUUCAUCUUCAGCACAUGACAAGCCAUUGAAACCUCUUUAUGAAGAAGAUUCAGACUGUCACCUCAGAUGUGAAAACAGGAAGCUUGAGAGCUUAGAAAUCAGUCCUGCAGUUGUCAAAGCCACAGCAGUGAACUUUAUCAGAGAGGCCAGUACUGAACAUCCUGUUGCAGUAAAUAUAACAGAAGACAAUGAACAUGUCACAGCACUGCCAAAUGGACUAAGAACAGCAAUGGAGGGUUGCCGUGAUUCUGAUAGCCUACUAAAAACAGAUGAAGAGUGUAAAGGUACAUCCAUAAGAAACACUUCUCUCAGACAAACUGUAGAAACAGAUGGUAUGGGCCUGUGUUCAAGCACUGGAAAUAAAAUAGAAGAACCAUCUACUCACGUUUUAACAAAUGAUAUCUUAAAUGCCAAGGAGUGGUUGGAGCAGAAGCCAAACAAAACAUUAACUGAUGAUGAUGGAGCUAUUCGAAUGACUGCUGCCCAGGAAGGAAAGCUUGCUUCUAAUAAUUCUUUACAGUCUCAUGAUGCAGAAUCUCCUCCCAGAUUAAUAAAGGCUCAAAGUAAUCAUUUAAAACAAGACCAAGAACACCUAACUUACAUAGCAGAUAGUUACAUUGAUCAAUUACCUUAUACAGAACAGAAUAUACAUUUAACAAAUAAUCAGAUAAUUAAAUGUAUAGAUGAACUAUCUACUAAAGACUCUCCAGUUAUACAGAGCUACCCAGAAAUAAAAGAUUGUGUUUAUCUCCCUGAUCUUGUACAAAAAGAAGAUUUAUCCAAUAAUUCCUCCUGUGAAAAUAUCAAUCAAUUUAUAGGUGAAAAGAACUCUUCUGUUAAAGAAGUCAAUAAAAGUUCUGAAGAGAAUUUUCAGGAAAAAGGAAAUGAGUCAGACCUGAAUGCACAAAAUGAUAGUAACUCUGGCACUUACCAUCUUUCAAGAGAUAAUGACAGUAAAGAUUUCCAAAGUGUUUCUGAUUCACAGGACUGCAGUUACAUUAUACAGCUACAUAAUUUAAUUAGGAGUCCUGAAACUGUAACAUAUCAGGACAGACUGAAAAAUCCAGAUCAAGAAAACAGUAAGACAGAGACAGGUGUACAGCAGGUGGUGUUCAAGUCAUUGUCUGAGGAGCAAUUUUUAACUGAAAUUUUAUUAGAAAAACCAAGAGAUGAAGAAAACAAAAUGGAUAGAGAAAAGAGAGAUCUUGGAAUAGAUGAGGUACAAAAUAUUGCAACUUUAGGUGUCCCAGGACUGGACAGCAUUUCAGAAAUUCAGCCUUUAGAUUCUCAGCAUGGAGCAUCAGAAGGAAAUGCAGUUAUCUUUGACCAUGGUUGCAAGAUUGAAAGAAAGUUAAGAAUGGACUCUUCAGCAGGUUCCACUUACGACUCUGGGCUGGUGACACCAGUUAGCUUCUUUCAGCCUAUGACACAUGUUGGGAAUGAAAAUAAUAGUACUGCAAGUCAAGACUGUAAAGAUGUUGGUGACAAGGUGGAUAGUUCCAUCCUUUCCACCCAACAUAUGAACUUACAAGAAACUUCAUCUGUUUCUGCAGAACCUAUGAGCCAAACAGAAGGAUCCACUAUCAACACACUGGUAAAAGAAUACUCCAGUGUAGAAAGCCUAGUGCAGUCUGAAUCCACACAAAUGGUACUUAAGGGGAAUGAAAAUAUGAACAAGUUGAAAACUACACCCGAACCAUUGCAGUGUCAAUGCCAUAAAACAGCUGAAGAAAACAAGGAUGAAACAAUCUUGUGUGAAAAGAAAACAGAACAAAUCCAAGAAGCCACUGAAUAUAGUCUAGGUGAAGGUGAAGUGGAGCCUUAUAUGCGUGCUUUGAUUACUCCAGAGGAAGAGGAACAUAUUACAAGUUAUUGUACUGGACAGUCUGAUCCAUCCCGGACUCCUUCCGCUCAGCAAAUUGGAACACCCUGUAAUACAUACAGGAGUGGAAAUACAACUAACUCUAGUGAAUAUCAUAAAACCAGACAACUCAUGGCAGGCAGGAGUCAAAACAUGAUUUCAUCAGACCAUGUAACAGGGGUUUUAGUUAGCCUCCCAACAUAUGCCUCAGAGAACAGCCGUUUUCAGGAGGAGCUGCCACAGAGCAAAUCUCAGCAGUGCUCUUUAGCAUUGACCACAGCUGAUCCAUUCACACUAAGAGAAGAGAGGACAAAAACUCAAGAGGGGUCAAAAUCCUGCAAGCACUUACUUGUUGGGCCUGAGGACGUUAAGUGUCAGCAAGAAACAGCAAACAGUGGACAUUCGGCUGAUGGGGGUAAGAAGAAAAUGUUGUCACAGGUGCUGUCUAAGAAACCCCGGCUAGAAGCAAAGGAAAACCUCAGCAAGAACUCCAGUUGCAUUAAAAAGGCCCUGAAAGCUAAUGCAGGCAUCAUUCAGAGGAAAGAGAGGGAAGAGCAAAGAAAAAUAUCUGCGAAAAAAAACAGCAAAGGUAGGAGGGAGCUGUCUCUCUAUUGUUGAUUUUUUUUCUUUCACAUCCCUCAGACUACAGUAUAAAUUCAAAGACAAUUCCAACACACCACAAGACUUCUUCAGCUAAACUAAAUCAGCUAUUGAUGUCAUGCAUUAAUAUAUGAAAAUGUCCAUUCUCUGAAGUAAUAACCACUGCUAUACCAUGCUGCAAAUCUGUUCAGUCCCUGGCUCCCCUUAGUUGAUAAAUGUAUCAUAUUUUAUUAAAUUUUAUGCCUUUUAUAAUGUAGUUUCCUCUGUUCGAGUCAAGGCUCAGGAACAUAAAGUACAUUAUGAUUAUUCCAACAGAAUCCAUGCAAUAUAAUAGCAAACACAGUAGUAUCAUGUUGUUCUACCCCUGAAAUGGGUUGGUUUCACAAUUGUGCCACCACCCUGUGGCUCCCCAAUAUAAUUACACUGUGUUUGGGACCAAAAGUGUUUAUACUGCUGGUAACCUAUUACUAUUAUUUAUAUAGCGCUCUGGAUAUGCAUAACACUUUGCAGCAAUGUAAGAUGACAAAAGGCCCAGUUCUGCGUUUGCUUACACCAGUAUAAAUCCUGAGUGACUCUGCUGAGUCAAUGAAGUUAAACUGGCAUUAAACCAGCAUAAAUAAAAUGAGAACCAGGCCCCCA
rnacentral:lncRNA from 1 species